AUCGCUUCUCGGCCUUUUGGCUAAGAUCAAGUGUAGUAUCUGUUCUUAUCAGUUUAAAAAUGAGAUCACUGGCUCAGUGAAUAGUGUGUUGGCCCACAGACUGAAGGGUCCCGGAUUCAAUUCUGGUCAAGGGCACAUGCCUG
rnacentral:snRNA from 1 species